rnacentral:lncRNA from 1 species
AAUGAUUGAUUGAUUGUUGGUUGCUUUACGCCGCAUUAGCACAAAAAGGCUAUAUCGCGGCGAGAGCUAAUUCGAAUAUUUUUACAAUUUAAAGCAUAUUUUUAAAAUAAGACAAAAAGUCCUUCAAUAUACUAAAAUUCUAGACUAAAGCAAAUUGAUUAUUUACAAAUAAAAAUCAAUAUGAGUAAAAUAACGUGAUAAAAAUUAAAAACGACUUAAAUAUAAUAACAUUUUUAUAUUCUAUAAUAAAUUCCAAUUUCUUUUAAAAAUGCAACAAUAUUU